AACGAACGCUGGCGGCAGGCUUAACACAUGCAAGUCGAACGCUCGUAGCAAUACGGGAGUGGCAGACGGGUGAGUAACGCGUGGGAACGUGCCCAAAGGUACGGAACAACUCCGGGAAACUGGAGCUAAUACCGUAUGUGCCCGAAAGGGGAAAGAUUUAUCGCCUUUGGAUCGGCCCGCGUCGGAUUAGCUAGUUGGUGGGGUAAUGGCCUACCAAGGCGACGAUCCGUAGCUGGUCUGAGAGGAUGAUCAGCCACACUGGGACUGAGACACGGCCCAGACUCCUACGGGAGGCAGCAGUGGGGAAUAUUGGACAAUGGGCGCAAGCCUGAUCCAGCCAUGCCGCGUGAGUGAUGAAGGCCUUAGGGUUGUAAAGCUCUUUCGCCAGGGACGAUAAUGACGGUACCUGGAUAAGAAGCCCCGGCUAACUUCGUGCCAGCAGCCGCCGCCG
rnacentral:rRNA from 1 species